ensembl:lncRNA
GUCUGAAGCCCGCUAAGGGGUGGGUGGCUCUGCUUAGCAGGCUCAGAAGGUGUGAGUGCGGGCUGCACGAUGCUGGCUGGCACCAACUGGGCAGGAACUCCCACUUGCAUGGUGCAUCACUCUUCUCUGAGUUAGAGCUUCUUUCCAGGUGGCAGGUCAUUGUUGUCUAAGGACAGGCCCCUUCCUACUCUCUCUCCUCUCAAGGAAGGGCAAGCUCUUCAUUCUUUGAAGUUCUAUAAGGCUCACCAAUGAAUUCGAUCUCAACAUUAACAUGUAAAAACCCCGCAUUCCGAAAUCCAAGCUCUAACACCCAGAGGAAGCAGGGAAAUGCAACACAGGACCUGACAUUUUGCAUUGACUGGAUGCCCUACUGCGGAGCAAGAAUCAAAGGAGAAUUCCAGAAUAAAUUUUUCUAAAGCCUCUAGCUGACUUACCAUCAACAAUCCUACUUUCAGUGUUCACAUUAAAUUGAAAAAACAUCUAACUUGCCACGUUUCACUUUUUUUUUUAGGAACUUUAUAAGGUAAUAGUAGGAUUAGAGAGAAAUAGAACCUGCAUUCAUGUGGAUUGUUUUACUGCCAGUUUCAAAUCCUUGCCUGGUUCUUGCAACAACAUGAGUCCACUUGAGAAAGGAGCGUUAGCAAAUUAGAACAAGGUAGCUUCUUUAAAUCAACUGCUAGAUUAUCUGGUUCCAAACUCUUUUGUAAACUUGACGCUGUGAACCUUUCAGAUGUUGAUGAAUUUUUCGAACCAUGAUUUUCCAAAGCAUCUUUCUUUUCAUAAACUUGUUUGGCACCAGCUUUCCUGCUUUUUCGGGUAGAGUUCUAAAUGGAAACCAUAGAAUCUCUAAACUGGCCAUAAACCGUCAUUUCUCAAGUAUAGUAGAGGGGAUACCAAAUGUGCAAGACGCUGCAGAUGUAUGUGGAGCAUGAUGCAUUUUCUGUUCUCCUCUUGGAAACUGCCUCAGCAUAGUGGGCCGUUAAAGGCCCUGAGAAGUCCUGUAGUGAAGGAAGCUGCUCAACUUUGUUUACCUGGAGAAUUUUUUUUAAAGCUGUUUACUCUUUUAACUUUUCUGUAUAGUUUUCAAUGUUUAUAAUAACGAGUUAAAGCAAAACAAUUUUACUUUUUUUUUUUUGCAUUAUACCUAUUAACAUCCUGCAGAGUUGGCAUUUUUUAAAACCCAGUAGGAAACAUUGUCCUGAGUUACUCCAUUUAACCUAUUUGUUGAGUUUCUCUUCUUUUCAGAUAAACAAGGGGAUCACCUGAAUAUGGAUUUACUGAUUAAAUAUGAAAACUUUAAAUUUGGAAACAAUUGAACAUCACAGGUGUGAAUUCAUUUCUCAGAUACAAAAUAAUUUUCAUUGUUAGCCAAAGCUGGGAUGGUAGUGACAAGACUG